UUAAAUUGAAGAGUUUGAUCAUGGCUCAGAUUGAACGCUGGCGGCAGGCCUAACACAUGCAAGUCGAACGGUAACAGAAAGCAGCUUGCUGCUUUGCUGACGAGUGGCGGACGGGUGAGUAAUGU
rnacentral:rRNA from 1 species